rnacentral:lncRNA from 1 species
AAAAAAGAGACUGGAUGCUUUCUCCCUAAGAUUAGGAACAAGACAAGGAUCUGCACUCAUCACUGAUAUUUGACAUGAUACUAGAGGUUCUAGCCAUGGCAACUAGGCAAGGAAAAUAAGUAACAGGCAUUCACAGAUUGGAAAGGAAGACUAAAACUACCUCUAUUGCAGAUGUCAUGAUCUUAUAUAUAGAAAAUCCUAAGGAAUUCACUAAAAACGCUGAUAAAAUUUGGAUAUUUGUCUCCUCCAAAUCUCAUGUUGAAAUGUAACCCCAGUGUUGAAGGUGGGACCUGGUGGGAGGUGCUUGGAUCAUUGGGGGCAUAUCCCUCAUGAAUGGUUUAUGAAUGGUUUAGUGACAUCCCCUUGGUGAUGAGUGAGUUCAUGAGAGAUCUGGUUGUUUAACAGUGUGUGGCAUCUCUCACCUCCCUCUCUUGCUCCUGCUCUCACCAUGUGAUGUGCAUACUACCCCUUCAUCUUCCACUAUGAUUGUAAGCUUCCUGAACCCUUACCAGAAGCAGAUGCCAGCACCAUGCUUCCUGUACACCCUGCAGAACCAUGAGCCAAUUAAACUUCCUUUCUUUAUAAAUUACUCAGUCUCAGGUACUCGUUUAUAGCAAUGCCAGAAUAACCUAACACAAAAACUACUGGAACUAAUAAAUGAGUUUGGCAAGGUUGCAGGAGACAAGAUCAGUAUGCAAAAAUUAAUUGUAUUUCUAUACACUUAGAAUGAACAAUCCAAAAAUGAAAUUAGGAAAAUAAUUCAAUUUACAAUAGCAUCAUGAAGAAAAUUUUUCAGAAUAUAUUUAACAAAAGAAGUGCAAAAGUUAUACUCUGAAAAUUACAAAAUGUUCUUGAAACAAAUUAAAGACAAUCUAAAUAAAUGGAAAAUAUCUCAUGCUCAAGAAUUGGAAGGCUUAGUAUUGUUAAGAUGGCAACACUCCCCACAUUGAUCUAUAAAUUCAAUGCAAUCCCGGUGAGGAUCCCAGAUGGCUUCUUGUAGAAAUUGAAAAGCUGACUGUAAAAUCCAUAUGGAAUUGCAAGGGACACAGACUACCCAAAACAAUCUUGAUAAAGUAGACUACAUUUGCAAGAUUCACAAUUCCCAAUUUUAAAGUUUGCUACAAAGCAGCAGUAAUCAAGACAGUGUGGUACUGGCAUAAAGAUAGACAGAUCAAUGGAACAGAAUUGGAAGUCCUGAAACAAACCCAUGUGUCAACUGAUUUCCAACAAGAUGCCAAGACUACUCAAUGGAGAAAGACUAGCCUUUUCAACAAAUGAUGCUGUGACGACUGGAUAUCUACAUGCCAAAGAAUGAAGUUGGACCCCUAUACCAUCCCAUAUACUCAAAUGAAUUCAAAACGGAUUAAAGACCUAGAUGUAAGAGCUAGCACUAUGAAACUCUUAGAAGAAAUACAGAGGUAAAUCUUCAUGGCCUCAGGCAUUGGCUUCUUAAAUAUAACAUGGAAAGCACAACCAACAAAAGAAAAAUAGAUAAAUUCAAUUUCAUCAAAAUUGAAAACUUCAUCAAAAGACAACAUCAAAAAAGUGAAAAGACAACCCACAGAAUGGGACAUAGUAUUUGCAAAUCACAUAUCUGAUAAAGGACUUAUAUCUAGAAUUAUAAAUAACUGUUACAACUCAAUAAUAAAAAGACAUAUGACUCAAUUUUUUAAAUGGGCAAAAAAUCUGAAUAGACAUUUCUUCAAAGAAGAAUUAGAAAUUCUUGAAAAGACGUUCAUCAUUAAUCACCAG